UACGAAGGGGGCUAGCGUUGUUCGGAAUUACUGGGCGUAAAGCGCACGUAGGCGGAUAUUUAAGUCAGGGGUGAAAUCCCAGAGCUCAACUCUGGAACUGCCUUUGAUACUGGGUAUCUUGAGUAUGGAAGAGGUAAGUGGAAUUGCGAGUGUAGAGGUGAAAUUCGUAGAUAUUCGCAAGAACACCAGUGGCGAAGGCGGCUGUCUGGUCCGGUUCUGACGCUGAGGCGCGAAAGCGUGGGGAGCAAACAGG
rnacentral:rRNA from 1 species